rnacentral:rRNA from 1 species
AGCGAACGCUGGCGGCAGGCCUAACACAUGCAAGUCGAACGAACUCUUCGGAGUUAGUGGCGGACGGGUGAGUAACACGUGGGAACGUGCCUUUUGGUUCGGAAUAACUCAGAGAAACUUGUGCUAAUACCGAAUGUGCCCUUCGGGGGAAAGAUUUAUCGCCAUUAGAGCGGCCCGCGUCUGAUUAGCUAGUUGGUGAGGUAACGGCUCACCAAGGCGACGAUCAGUAGCUGGUCUGAGAGGAUGACCAGCCACACUGGGACUGAGACACGGCCCAGACUCCUACGGGAGGCAGCAGUGGGGAAUCUUGCGCAAUGGGCGAAAGCCUGACGCAGCCAUGCCGCGUGAAUGAUGAAGGUCUUAGGAUUGUAAAAUUCUUUCACCGGGGACGAUAAUGACGGUACCCGGAGAAGAAGCCCCGGCUAACUUCGUG